AUUGUUUGAAUCAUAGAAUAUUUCAAUUUUUACAGAUAUGACAAUAAUGGCCAACUUGACUGAACCAUUAACUGUUAACACAAUGGUAGUUCUACAUGUUCAGUGAGGAAUAAAACUUUGUUAUACGGGACAAUGAGGAGAAAAUUUGAAUAUUUCAUAUUUCAUGUAAUAUAAUACAAAAGAAAUAGUGAGGGAGUGACGUCAUCAGUCCCCUCAUUUGCAUACCGCCCAGGAUGUACAUAUAAUUUUUUUGUGAAAAAGAAGCAAAACUUUAAAAUGUCAUAACUUUUUCAUAUUACAUCCGAUUUUGAUGAAAUUUUCAGUGUUUUCCUUGUUGGAUUUUUCUCUUUUUAUUCAAAUCAACUUUUUGUUGGGGUGGACUUUUCCUUUUUUAUGAUGACAUUUUACAUAGACAAGACAUAAUAUAGCAUUCACUGAGUCUUCUAAACAGAUAAACAUUUUACACAAAUUCUCCAUUUUCAGUUUUGCAGGGUUUAUUUUCAUGGAAUAUUUGAUGGAAAUGUACAUUUUCAUUGAGUCUUAAAACAAAAAAAAAGGCAUGGUGAUACAAAUAUCAAUUCAUUUAAACAAUAAACAUGUCUUAUUUUUCACAAAAUCCAAAUAAAGUGCAUCACCUUUCUGAUAUUUUGUCCUAUUUGAAUUAUGUAAUUAAUACUUGAGUUAACAAAGCCUCCCAUCUUCUAAAUGUUAUUAUCAGCAUGCCUUUUGUUCAAAACACUGAAAAGGAAUCAAAUCAGCUUUCAUAUUCACAAUCGAAUGAAAAUCUUUGUGUUAUGGGGCCUAGGGCCAGAUUUCAUAAAUGACCUAUAAAUUAUGGUAAAUCUGUCAUAGCAACUACUAUGGUAACGGGCCAAUCAAGGUUUCCAUGGUAGAUACAGAAAUAAGGAAUUUGUUUUAUUUUAUCUUAGAGAAAUGUGCCCUUGGACAAUCUAUUUGGACUAUAAUCGAUUCUGUUCAAUUGCUUACGUAACUUACGUAUGAUCAGAGUCACACUCAAAUGCUGGUGCAUGUAUAAUAUGUAACGCACAAUCUUAUUGAUUGAUACGCAGUAGUGAGCAUCCUCUUGGCAUGGUCUGACCAAUGCAGUCAUGUAUUUUAUAACACAAUGCAACUAGUUAUUUAAGUGCGACUCUAAUAAGUCAUACUUAAAUCUUUGUGAAUCACCCCCUGGUCUAAUGCCCAACUAGUCUUAUUUUCAUUUAGUCUAAUACCCAGUUGGUCUAAUUUCCACUUUGUUCACCGGUUCUUUGCUUCAUACACAGUUCAUCUAACCAUAAAAUCUAAGUGGUCUUCAUUCGAAUGGAUAUUAUACAAAACGGGUAAAGCAAAACUGAAAAUUUGACAAAAUAGUGAAUAUACUAAAUGACAAUUAGACCAAAAAUAAUAGGCACACUGGUUGUAGAUUAACUAGGAUUAGACCAUAUGUUGGAUGAGGGCAAAUGAAAAAUUUGAAAAGUGGGUGUGGACCAAGUGGCAAUUAAGCGUUUCAAUAACAUAUUUCAUGAAUUUGCUUCAAGAAAAGAAAUUGAUGAGUAUAUUUUCAUGAUUUUAGAAGUUUGAAUUCACUUUGUACAUGUAUGCCAGAAGGUGUCGUGACUGUUAAGUCACAGAACACAUAAAAUAUGUCUGCAAGGUUUUCAGGUUUUGGGAAGUGCCCAUAUACAAGGCAAGCUCUAACAUUUAUCUUAAUCAAUCACACAAUCUUCCUUUCCUGUUCUUUUUAAUCUUUUCAUUGUAUGUAAUUUUGUUGAGUUUGUGUGUAACAUAUUUAGAUCUUUACAUUGCAAUAAUACAGGAGAAAUAAUAAUACUUUAUUAAUUUCAAGGCUUGCUCACCUUGCAACCCCCCCCCCCCCCCACAAUGCAUGGUUAUUUGAGUAUUUCCCACUGCAUACAGUUUACAUGUAUAUGUAUAUAAUGCAAUGAACAGUGUUUGGUACAUACACACAGGGGGUAUAAAAUACAUCACCAAGGAUUAUUACAUAGUUUAUUUUACAAAUUAUUUACACUUUAUCUUACAAUGUAUAUGUUCAUAAAUUUAUUCAAUGUUUAUAUACAGAGCUAAGGAAAGGAAAUGGGAUUGAGAAUCGAAAUUCUUAUCUCAGAAAAUUUGGACAUGGUAAUUCUUAUUGGUGCAAUGCUCGUGGCCAAAUUUGACAAGAUACAAUAAAAUAAAAAUCGUCCUGCUGCUUUAUUUAGAAAAAAACAGAAACAUGUUUAUGACUUGAAAAUUCAGAUGCUCCUAUGAGGCAGUACAGAAGAAGAAUCUAAAAUACAUUGAUCAAAUUUCAUACAAUGGAAUGAAGAAAUAGGAUGAAGAAAUGGGAGAAGCUGAGACAAAUUGAACAGCAGGAUACAAUUCAAUAUUUCCUAACCCAUUAAAUUUUUACAAGAUCAAACAAGUACAAUUCCAUACCAAAAGUACCUAAAAUGUACUUAAACUUUCAUAUUGUUAUUACUCUUGGGGGGAGGGGGGCUAAUUUCUAGAUUAUGUACAGUACUAAUGAUAAAAGUUUUAAAAUAGGCACAAUGAAUCUCGAAUGUCAAUAAGAGGGCUAUUGAGACCAAUGCAAGGGCAUCCACAGCAAUAGCUUUCAACGGCCUUACAUGAAUUAAAACCCUGCAGUACACAUAAUAGGUAGAAGGAUUCAAUGUUUACAAAUAUUACAAUGUCACUAAAUAUAUACUAUGUACAGUGAAAUAUUCACAUAUGUCAAUUUUAAUUAUUUUACAUUUACAUUGGCAGAAGAAUUUAAAAUAAUUAUCUGCAUACCAUCCUUAUUCAGCGUGUCAAAGGUUUGCGAAACUAGGUAAACUUUUGAAACCGCAUAAGCACCAAGGGCAUAGGGGGGUGGGGUGGGUGCACUGUGUGCACAUUCACCCUCUUGCUGAGGCAGAGGAGUUCCGACACUGGCAAGCAAAACAAAAUUUGUACACUUUCUGCUUUCCACAGCUGAUAUCCCAAACUUUAGUUCCACCUUGCCAAGAUGUGCACCUCCAAUGCUCAAACCAGCCUACGCCCUUGAGCACCCAAUAUCAACGAAAUUUUCAUCAUUAUGCUUCUUAUUCCAUUGGGAGAGCUUUUCCACACAUGUCCGGUUUCAAAGGUAUUACA